GACGAACGCUGGCGGCGUGCUUAACACAUGCAAGUCGAACGGUGAAGCGCCUUCCUUUUUGGUGGGUGUGGAUGAGUGGCGAACGGGUGAGUAACACGUGAGUAACCUGCCCCCUUCUUCUGGAUAACCGCAUGAAAGUGUGGCUAAUACGGGAUAUUCUGGGUCUGUCGCAUGAUGGGUCUGGGAAAGAUAUUGUUUCGGUGGGGGAUGGGCUCGCGGCCUAUCAGCUUGUUGGUGGGGUGAUGGCCUACCAAGGCGGUGACGGGUAGCCGGCCUGAGAGGGUGGACGGUCACACUGGGACGGAGCCACGGCCCAGACUCCUACGGGAGGCAGCAGUGGGGAAUAUUGCACAAUGGGAGCAAGCCUGAUGCAGCGACGCCGCGUGAGGGAUGGAGGCCUUCGGGUUGUGAACCUCUUUCGCCAGUGAAGCAGGCCUGCCUCGUUUGUGGGUGGGUUGACGGUAGCUGGAUAAGAAGCGCCGGCUAACUACGUG
rnacentral:rRNA from 1 species